GCGGGAAUAGCUCAGUGGUAGAGCAUCACCUUGCCAAGGUGAGGGUCGCGGGUUCAAAUCCCGUUUCCCGCUCCC
rnacentral:tRNA from 1 species